rnacentral:rRNA from 1 species
GAUUCUGGCUCAGGAUGAACGCUAGCUACAGGCUUAACACAUGCAAGUCGAGGGGCAGCAUAACGAAAGCUUGCUUUGUUGAUGGCGACCGGCGCACGGGUGAGUAACGCGUAUCCAACCUUCCCUAUACUAGAGGAUAGCCCGGCGAAAGUCGGAUUAAUACUCUAUGUUGUUCGAUGCGGACAUCUAAAUUGAACCAAAGGUUUACCGGUAUAGGAUGGGGAUGCGUCUGAUUAGGUUGUUGGCGGGGUAACGGCCCACCAAGCCAGCGAUCAGUAGGGGUUCUGAGAGGAAGGUCCCCCACAUUGGUACUGAGACACGGACCAAACUCCUACGGGAGGCAGCAGUGAGGAAUAUUGGUCAAUGGGCGAGAGCCUGAACCAGCCAAGUAGCGUGCAGGAUGACGGCCCUAUGGGUUGUAAACUGCUUUUGCCGGGGAAUAAAGUGCAGUACGUGUACUGUUUUGUAUGUACCCGGAGAAUAAGGACCGGCUAAUUCCGUGCCAGCAGCUGC